rnacentral:misc_RNA from 1 species
AAGUCGUAACAAGGUUUCCGUAGGUGAACCUGCGGAAGGAUCAUUAACACGUAUCCAACGUUAAACCCCCCCGUGCACCUUCAAACACCAUACAGCGCUUCGUGACCCAUCUUGUGUCGGGAUUGAUGUCUUCCCGCAAAAGUACCCGCUCGGGGGGCCUGAGAACCUUCCAGAGCUGGAAUACUGUUAACAAUGGAUAUCUUGGCUCUC